AAAACAGCUCAAAAAACACAUCCACAGGUCAGAUUUGGCCCUUGGGCCACCAGUUUGAGACCCUGGUCUGCGCGAGGGUUGCAGCAGGAGAGCCCUAGUCUAGGGAGCAGGAAGCCGGGAUCCCAGGAACUUCCUGGAGGAUGUGGGGCAGAGGGCAGAGGGUGGGGCUGAGGCAGGCGAGGACGGUGUGCUGUGUUCUGGAGGGCAGUGGGGACAGCAGGGGAACAGGGUGACCCCAGGACCUGGAGGGCCUUGGCAUGAGGAGUUUGGAUUCGAUCCCGAGAACCUGGAGCUUGUACGGAUUGUUGGGGGGCAGCAGGGGUUACUCUGGGAGAGGGCAUGGAGAGUCGGAACAGCACCCCAAUGCCAUCUGCCCCCAGGCCGAGAGGUGAGCCCAGCGCAUCAGUAUGCUCUGGCUGGAGGCAUCUCCUUCCCCUUCUUCUGGCUGGCUGGUGCGGGCUCGGCCGUCUUCUGGGUGCUGGGAGCCACCCUGGUGGUCAUCGGCUCCCACGCUGCCUUCCACCAGAUUGAGGCUGUGGACGGGGAGGAGCUGCAGAUGGAACCCGUGUGAGGUGUCUUCUGGGACCUGCCGGCCUCCCGGGCCAGCUGCCCCACCCCUGCCCAUGCCUGUCCUGCACGGCUCUGCUGCUCGGGCCCACAGCGCCGUCCCAUCACAAGCCCGGGGAGGGAUCCCGCCUUUGAAAAUAAAGCUGUUAUGGGUGUCA
rnacentral:lncRNA from 1 species